GGGUUGUGAGGUUAAGCGACCAAGCGUACACGGUGGAUGCCCUGGCAGUCAGAGGCGAUGAAGGACGUGCUAAUCUGCGAAAAGCGCCGGUAAGGUGAUAUGAACCGUUAUAACCGGCGAUGUCCGAAUGGGGAAACCCAGUGUGAUUCGUCACACUAUCAUUAACUGAAUCCAUAGGUUAAUGAGGCGAACCGGGGGAACUGAAACAUCUAAGUACCCCGAGGAAAAGAAAUCAACCGAGAUUCCCCCAGUAGCGGCGAGCGAACGGGGAGGAGCCCAGAGCCUGAAUCAGCAUGUGUGUUAGUGGAAGCGUCUGGAAAGGCGCGCGAUACAGGGUGACAGCCCCGUACACAAAAGCGCAUAUGCUGUGAGCUCGAUGAGUAGGGCGGGACACGUGGUAUCCUGUCUGAAUAUGGGGGGACCAUCCUCCAAGGCUAAAUACUCCUGACUGACCGAUAGUGAACCAGUACCGUGAGGGAAAGGCGAAAAGAACCCCGGCGAGGGGAGUGAAACAGAACCUGAAACCGUGUACGUACAAGCAGUGGGAGCCUCUCUUUAUGGGGGGUGACUGCGUACCUUUUGUAUAAUGGGUCAGCGACUUAUAUUCUGUAGCAAGGUUAACCGCAUAGGGGAGCCGAAGGGAAACCGAGUCUUAACCGGGCGUUAAGUUGCAGGGUAUAGACCCGAAACCCGGUGAUCUAGCCAUGGGCAGGUUGAAGGUUGGGUAACACUAACUGGAGGACCGAACCGACUAAUGUUGAAAAAUUAGCGGAUGACCUGUGGCUGGGGGUGAAAGGCCAAUCAAACCGGGAGAUAGCUGGUUCUCCCCGAAAGCUAUUUAGGUAGCGCCUCGUGAAUUCAUCUCCGGGGGUAGAGCACUGUUUCGGCUAGGGGGCCAUCCCGGCUUACCAACCCGAUGCAAACUGCGAAUACCGGAGAAUGUUAUCACGGGAGACACACGGCGGGUGCUAACGUCCGUCGUGAAGAGGGAAACAACCCAGACCGCCAGCUAAGGUCCCAAAGUCAUGGUUAAGUGGGAAACGAUGUGGGAAGGCCCAGACAGCCAGGAUGUUGGCUUAGAAGCAGCCAUCAUUUAAAGAAAGCGUAAUAGCUCACUGGUCGAGUCGGCCUGCGCGGAAGAUGUAACGGGGCUAAACCAUGCACCGAAGCUGCGGCAGCGACACUUUAGUGUUGUUGGGUAGGGGAGCGUUCUGUAAGCCGUUGAAGGUGUGUCGUGAGGCAUGCUGGAGGUAUCAGAAGUGCGAAUGCUGACAUAAGUAACGAUAAAGCGGGUGAAAAGCCCGCUCGCCGGAAGACCAAGGGUUCCUGUCCAACGUUAAUCGGGGCAGGGUGAGUCGACCCCUAAGGCGAGGCCGAAAGGCGUAGUCGAUGGGAAACGGGUUAAUAUUCCCGUACUUGGUGUUACUGCGAAGGGGGGACGGAGAAGGCUAUGUUGGCCGGGCGACGGUAGUCCCGGUUUAAGCGUGUAGGUGUGUGUUCCAGGUAAAUCCGGUUCACUUUAACACUGAGGCGUGAUGACGAGGCACCACGGUGCUGAAGCAACAAAUGCCCUGCUUCCAGGAAAAGCCUCUAAGCAUCAGGUAACAUCAAAUCGUACCCCAAACCGACACAGGUGGUCAGGUAGAGAAUACCAAGGCGCUUGAGAGAACUCGGGUGAAGGAACUAGGCAAAAUGGUGCCGUAACUUCGGGAGAAGGCACGCUGACACGUAGGUGAAGUGAUUUACUCAUGGAGCUGAAGUCAGUCGAAGAUACCAGCUGGCUGCAACUGUUUAUUAAAAACACAGCACUGUGCAAACACGAAAGUGGACGUAUACGGUGUGACGCCUGCCCGGUGCCGGAAGGUUAAUUGAUGGGGUCAGCGCAAGCGAAGCUCCUGAUCGAAGCCCCGGUAAACGGCGGCCGUAACUAUAACGGUCCUAAGGUAGCGAAAUUCCUUGUCGGGUAAGUUCCGACCUGCACGAAUGGCGUAAUGAUGGCCAGGCUGUCUCCACCCGAGACUCAGUGAAAUUGAACUCGCUGUGAAGAUGCAGUGUACCCGCGGCAAGACGGAAAGACCCCGUGAACCUUUACUAUAGCUUGACACUGAACAUUGAGCCUUGAUGUGUAGGAUAGGUGGGAGGCUUUGAAGCGUGGACGCCAGUCUGCGUGGAGCCGACCUUGAAAUACCACCCUUUAAUGUUUGAUGUUCUAACGUGGACCCGUAAUCCGGGUUGCGGACAGUGUCUGGUGGGUAGUUUGACUGGGGCGGUCUCCUCCUAAAGAGUAACGGAGGAGCACGAAGGUUGGCUAAUCCUGGUCGGACAUCAGGAGGUUAGUGCAAUGGCAUAAGCCAGCUUGACUGCGAGCGUGACGGCGCGAGCAGGUGCGAAAGCAGGUCAUAGUGAUCCGGUGGUUCUGAAUGGAAGGGCCAUCGCUCAACGGAUAAAAGGUACUCCGGGGAUAACAGGCUGAUACCGCCCAAGAGUUCAUAUCGACGGCGGUGUUUGGCACCUCGAUGUCGGCUCAUCACAUCCUGGGGCUGAAGUAGGUCCCAAGGGUAUGGCUGUUCGCCAUUUAAAGUGGUACGCGAGCUGGGUUUAGAACGUCGUGAGACAGUUCGGUCCCUAUCUGCCGUGGGCGCUGGAAGACUGAGGGGGGCUGCUCCUAGUACGAGAGGACCGGAGUGGACGCAUCACUGGUGUUCGGGUUGUCAUGCCAAUGGCACUGCCCGGUAGCUAAAUGCGGAAAAGAUAAGUGCUGAAAGCAUCUAAGCACGAAACUUGCCCCGAGAUGAGUCUUCCCUGAGACUUUGAGUCUCCUGAAGGAACGUUAAAGACGAUGACGUUGAUAGGCCGGGUGUGUAAGCGCAGCGAUGCGUUGAGCUAACCGGUACUAAUGAACCGUGAGGCUUAACCUUACAACGCCGAAGCUGUU
rnacentral:rRNA from 1 species